rnacentral:rRNA from 1 species
UACGAAGGGGGCUAGCGUUGCUCGGAAUCACUGGGCGUAAAGGGUGCGUAGGCGGGUCUUUAAGUCAGGGGUGAAAUCCUGGAGCUCAACUCCAGAACUGCCUUUGAUACUGAGGAUCUUGAGUAUGGGAGAGGUGAGUGGAACUGCGAGUGUAGAGGUGAAAUUCGUAGAUAUUCGCAAGAACACCAGUGGCGAAGGCGGCUGACUGGUCCGGUUCUGACGCUGAGGCGCGAAAGCGUGGGGAGCAAACAGG